rnacentral:sRNA from 1 species
GGUCAUUUUCUUUGGAUUAUAAUCGCUUACAUCUACUGCCUAAUUCCAAGGGAGAUCAAUUGCCAAAUUGAGAUUCAAGUGGCACUAGUUGGCAAGUAUAUCCGCCUCACUGACUUGCCGUGCGAAGGUUUUCUUAUAUCAAACCUGGACAGAAUAAUUGUGACUGGAAGAAUUAAAAUGGCCUAUUCAACUUGGAGAUACAAGUAUCUCUUUGGCUUUGAGAUCUACGGCAUCGGUGGUCAAUCAUAUUCAUGUCGCCCUAGGUAUGAGGACGUGUGCAAAAAUGGAGUUGGAGUCUGGAAGACUUCAGAGUGCUACUGUGACUUCAUUGAGGCACCUUACAUGUAUGUCAGAUUCAACAAGACCGUGGAGAAAUAUAUGAACAAAGCUGCCGUAUCUCUUUGGUGGGGGAAAUAUAGUUACGCAUUCAAGAGCAGGCCAUUACUUAUUGCAGAUAACA